GAAGAAAUUAAAAGAAAAGAAAUACUAGCAGGGAGUAGUAGUAAUGGAUUGAAGAGUAUGUUUAGCAUUUUUGACGGUGAGUUACUUGGUUUUCAAAUUGAAUUGAUAUUUGAUGAUAUACCAAAAGAAGCAAAUAAUGCGCAAUCAGUAUACAAAGAAAAAGACACAUUCUCUAACAUGUUAACUAGCUCCUCCAAUAUGCUGGCUCUUCCAAAAUGUUGUGGUGAGGACGCUUACGGCAGUUGGAAAGGGGUGAAUAAUGCAAAGGAUAAUCAGCUCUACAAGUUGGACAUGUGUUAUGCAUUGAUAGCCAUUUUAUCAUACAGUGAAUAUGAAAUUCAUGCAAACAAUUAGUUGUUAUCACCUCAUUCUCGUCUUUGAAAUAUUC
rnacentral:misc_RNA from 1 species